GACGAACGCUGGCGGCGUGCUUAACACAUGCAAGUCGAACGGAAAGGCCCUGCUUUUGUGGGGUGCUCGAGUGGCGAACGGGUGAGUAACACGUGAGUAACCUGCCCUUGACUUUGGGAUAACUUCAGGAAACUGGGGCUAAUACCGGAUAGGAGCUCCUGCUGCAUGGUGGGGGUUGGAAAGUUUCGGCGGUUGGGGAUGGACUCGCGGCUUAUCAGCUGGUUGGUGGGGUAGUGGCUUACCAAGGCUUUGACGGGUGGCCGGCCUUAGAGGGUGAACGGCCACAUUGGGACUGAGAUACGGCCCAGACUCCUACGGGAGGCAGCAGUGGGGAAUAUUGCACAAUGGGCGGAAGCCUGAUGCAGCAACGCCGCGUGCGGGAUGACGGCCUUCGGGUUGUAAACCGCUUUCGCCUGUGACGAAGCGUGAGUGACGGUAAUGGGUAAAGAAGCACCGGCUAACUACGUG
rnacentral:rRNA from 1 species